rnacentral:rRNA from 1 species
UUCCGGUUGAUCCCGCCGGACCUGACUGCUAUCGGAUUAAUACUAAGCCAUGCGAGUCUUUGCAGUAAUGCAAGGCAUACGGCUCAGUAACACGUAGUCAACCUACCCUAUGGACGAGGAUAAUCUCGGGAAACUGAGCAUAAUACUCGAUAGACCAUAAUGCCUGGAAUGGUUUAUGGUUAAAAUGAUUCAUCGCCAUAGGAUGGGACUGCGGCCUAUCAGCUUGUUGGUGAGGUAAUGGCCCACCAAGGCGAUUACAGGUACGGGCUCUGAGAGGAGAAGCCCGGAGAUGGGUACUGAGACACGGACCCAGGCCCUAUGGGGCGCAGCAGGCGAGAAAACUUUGCAAUGUGCGAAAGCACGACAAGGUUAGUCCGAGUGAUUUCUGCUAAAGAGAUCUUUUGCAAGUUGUAAAACCACUAGUGAAUAAGGGGUGGGCAAGUUCUGGUGUCAGCCGCCGCGGUAAAACCAGCACCUCAAGUGGUCAGGAGGAUUAUUGGGCCUAAAGCAUCCGUAGCCUGCUUUGUAAGUUUUCGGUUAAAUCCAUGCGCUCAACGUAUGGGCUGCCGAAAAUACUGCAAAGCUAGGGAGUGGGAGAGGUAGACGGUACUCAGUAGGAAGGGGUAAAAUCCUUUGAUCUAUUGAUGACCACCUGUGGCGAAGGCGGUCUACCAGAACACGUUCGACGGUGAGGGAUGAAAGCUGGGGGAGCAAACCGGAUUAGAUACCCGGGUAGUCCCAGCUGUAAACGAUGCAGACUCGAUGAUGCAUUGGCAUAUAGCUAGUGCAGUGUCGCAGGGAAGCCGUUAAGUCUGCCGCCUGGGAAGUACGUACGCAAGUAUGAAACUUAAAGGAAUUGGCGGGGGAGCACCACAAGGGGUGAAGCCUGCGGUUCAAUUGGAUUCAACGCCCGGA